GUUCUCUUUGGCAGCACAUACACUAAAAUGGGAAUGAUAGAGAAAAGAUGAGCAAAGCCCUUGAGUGAGAAUGAUACACAAAUUUGUAAAGACAAAUUGUUU